CUCAGAUUGAACGCUGGCGGCAGGCCUAACACAUGCAAGUCGAGCGGAAACGAGUUAUCUGAACCUUCGGGGAACGAUAACGGCGUCGAGCGGCGGACGGGUGAGUAAUGCCUAGGAAAUUGCCCUGAUGUGGGGGAUAACCAUUGGAAACGAUGGCUAAUACCGCAUGAUGCCUACGGGCCAAAGAGGGGGACCUUCGGGCCUCUCGCGUCAGGAUAUGCCUAGGUGGGAUUAGCUAGUUGGUGAGGUAAGGGCUCACCAAGGCGACGAUCCCUAGCUGGUCUGAGAGGAUGAUCAGCCACACUGGAACUGAGACACGGUCCAGACUCCUACGGGAGGCAGCAGUGGGGAAUAUUGCACAAUGGGCGCAAGCCUGAUGCAGCCAUGCCGCGUGUGUGAAGAAGGCCUUCGGGUUGUAAAGCACUUUCAGUCGUGAGGAAGGUAGUGUAGUUAAUAGCUGCAUUAUUUGACGUUAGCGACAGAAGAAGCACCGGCUAACUCCGUGCCAGCAGCCGCGGUAAUACGGAGGGUGCGAGCGUUAAUCGGAAUUACUGGGCGUAAAGCGCAUGCAGGUGGUUUGUUAAGUCAGAUGUGAAAGCCCGGGGCUCAACCUCGGAAUAGCAUUUGAAACUGGCAGACUAGAGUACUGUAGAGGGGGGUAGAAUUUCAGGUGUAGCGGUGAAAUGCGUAGAGAUCUGAAGGAAUACCGGUGGCGAAGGCGGCCCCCUGGACAGAUACUGACACUCAGAUGCGAAAGCGUGGGGAGCAAACAGGAUUAGAUACCCUGGUAGUCCACGCCGUAAACGAUGUCUACUUGGAGGUUGUGGCCUUGAGCCGUGGCUUUCGGAGCUAACGCGUUAAGUAGACCGCCUGGGGAGUACGGUCGCAAGAUUAAAACUCAAAUGAAUUGACGGGGGCCCGCACAAGCGGUGGAGCAUGUGGUUUAAUUCGAUGCAACGCGAAGAACCUUACCUACUCUUGACAUCCAGAGAACUUUCCAGAGAUGGAUUGGUGCCUUCGGGAACUCUGAGACAGGUGCUGCAUGGCUGUCGUCAGCUCGUGUUGUGAAAUGUUGGGUUAAGUCCCGCAACGAGCGCAACCCUUAUCCUUGUUUGCCAGCGAGUAAUGUCGGGAACUCCAGGGAGACUGCCGGUGAUAAACCGGAGGAAGGUGGGGACGACGUCAAGUCAUCAUGGCCCUUACGAGUAGGGCUACACACGUGCUACAAUGGCGCAUACAGAGGGCGGCCAACUUGCGAAAGUGAGCGAAUCCCAAAAAGUGCGUCGUAGUCCGGAUUGGAGUCUGCAACUCGACUCCAUGAAGUCGGAAUCGCUAGUAAUCGUGGAUCAGAAUGCCACGGUGAAUACGUUCCCGGGCCUUGUACACACCGCCCGUCACACCAUGGGGAGUGGGCUGCAAAAGAAGUAGGUAGUUUAACCUUCGGGGGGGACGCUUACCACUUUGUGGUUCAUGACUGGGGGUGAAGUCGU
rnacentral:rRNA from 1 species